AACCCGGAGAAAUUCGGACUAAUAUCCCAUAAUGAUAUUGAAAGGCAUCUUUUGAUAUUUAAAGCUCAGGCGGUACGGGAUGGGCAUGCGGGACAUUAGCUAGUUGGCAGGGUAACGGCCUACCAAGGCUGCGAUGUUUAGGGGACCUGAGAGGGUUAUCCCCCACACUGGUACUGAGACACGGACCAGACUCCUACGGGAGGCAGCAGUGAGGAAUAUUGGUCAAUGGGCGCAAGCCUGAACCAGCCAUCCCGCGUGAAGGAAGAAGGCGCUAUGCGUUGUAAACUUCUUUUCCAGGGGGAGGAUUUUUCCGUCGUGACGGGAAUUGACGGUACUCUGGGAAUAAGCAUCGGCUAACUCCGUGCCAGCAGCCGCGGUAAUACGGAGGAUGCGAGCGUUAUCCGGAUUUAUUGGGUUUAAAGGGUGCGUAGGCGGAUCAAUAAGUCAGUGGUGAAAUUCUGCAGCUUAACUGUAGACUUGCCAUUGAUACUGUUGGUCUUGAGUAUGGUCAAGGUAGGCGGAAUGUGUAAUGUAGCGGUGAAAUGCUUAGAUAUUACACAGAACACCGAUUGCGAAGGCAGCUUGCUGGGCCAAUACUGACGCUGAUGCACAAAAGCGUGGGGAUCGAACAGGAUUAGAUACCCUGGUAGUCCACGCCGUAAACGAUG
rnacentral:rRNA from 1 species